CUUCUUCUUCCUCCUCCUCCUCCUCCUCCAGCGAAGCGAACGAGCCAUGACGCCGUGAUCGCUGCGCGUGCGUGCAGCAGCGGAAACCAAAUGUCGUGGGCUUCGUGGGCACGGGCGCGCGCGUGUUCGUGACCAUGCCAGCAGCAGCAGCAGCGGCGGUGAUGAUGUGGGGGGGCCGGCCGCGCCUUCCCGCCGUGCGGACCCACCACUGACUGAUUGACUGGGUGGGAGGGAGGCGGGGGGGAGCUUUUUGGACAGGAAGGUGCGUGUACGUGGAAGCCGCAGUCAUCAGCCUCGUGAACGCGCAGGGAGAAAAGCGGCGCCAGGAUGAUGUGCGAGGUGAUGCCCACCAUCAGCGAGGACACAGCGCUGAGCCAGCGCGGCUCCCAGAGCGGCUCGUCGGACCCGGACUCGCACUUUGAGCAGCUGAUGGUCAACAUGCUGGACGAGAGGGACCGGCUGCUGGACACGCUGAGGGAGACGCAGGAGAGCCUGGCGCUGGCCCAGCAGCACCUGCAGGACGUCAUCUACGACCGCGACUCGCUGCAGAGGCAGCUGAGCUCCGCCCUGCCGCAGGAGUUUGCAGCGCUCACCAAGGAGCUGAACGCUUGCAGGGAGCAGCUGCUGGAGAAGGAAGAGGAGAUCUCCGAGCUGAAGGCCGAGAGGAACAACACCAGGCUGCUGCUGGAGCAUCUGGAGUGUCUGGUGUCACGACACGAGCGUUCCCUCCGCAUGACGGUGGUCAAGAGGCAGGCCCAGUCGCCCUCGGGGGUCUCCAGCGAGGUGGAGGUCCUCAAAGCCCUCAAGUCCUUGUUUGAGCACCACAAAGCCCUCGACGAGAAGGUGAGGGAGAGACUGCGGGUGUCGUUGGAGAGGGUGUCCGCCUUGGAGGAGGAGCUUACAGCAGCCAAUCAGGAGAUCGUGGCCUUACGCGAGCAGAAUGCUCACAUCCAGAGAAAGGUGGCGUCGGGCGACGGCGGCGACGACAUCCCGGAGGGCGGAGAAGCUCAGCAGAAGGUCCACGGAAAGCGGCUGUCCAACGGCUCCCUGGAGUCGGCCCGCGAGGCCAGCCAGGUGGUGGAGCUGCAGGACCUGCUGGAGAAGCAGAACUACGAGCUGGCCCAGAUGAAGGAGCGCAUGUCCUCGCUGUCGUCGCGCGUCUCCGAGGUGGAGCAGGAGCUGGAGACGGCCCGCAAGGACCUCAUCAAGUCGGAGGAGAUGAACAACAAGUACCAGCGGGACAUUAAAGAGGCCAUGUGCCAGAAGGAGGACAUGGAGGAGCGCAUCGUCACGCUGGAGAAGCGUUACCUGAGCGCCCAGCGAGAGUCCACGUCGGUGCACGACAUCAACGACAAGCUGGAGAACGAACUGGCCAACAAGGAGGCCUUCCUCAGGCAGAUGGAGGAGAAGAACCGGCAGCUGCAGGAGAGGCUGGAGUUGGCCGAGCAGAAGCUCCAGCAGACCAUGAGGAAGGCCGAGACGCUGCCGGAGGUGGAGGCCGAGCUGGCCCAGAGGAUCGCCGCCCUCACCAAGGCAGAGGAGCGUCACGGAAGCAUCGAGGAGCGGAUGAGGCACUUGGAGUGUCAGCUGGAGGAGAAGAACCAGGAGCUCCUCAGGGCUCGCCAGCGGGAGAAGAUGAACGAGGAGCACAACAAGCGUCUGUCCGACACGGUGGACAGGCUCCUCACCGAGUCCAACGAGCGUCUGCAGCUGCACCUGAAGGAGCGAAUGGCGGCGCUGGAAGAGAAGAACCUGCUGAUCCAGGACUCUGAGGGCUACAGGAAGCAGUACGAGGAAUCCAUACAUGAAAAGACGCACCUGGCCGAGGAGAUAGAGAAGCUGAGAUCGGAGUUGGAUCAGUUCAGAUUGAGGGCCGGAUCCCUCACAGAACCCACCCUCUCACGGUCUCAUCUGGACACGUCCGGUGAGCUGCGGUUCUCGCUGGGCUCUCUGGCCGAGACACAGUCAGACCACUACCGCUCGGCCAAGGUCAUCCGCCGGCCCAGGCGAGGUCGGGUGGGUCUGCGUGAAAGUAAGGCCAAGUCGCUGGGGGAGCACGAGUGGCGCUCACAGCAGCUCGGGGUUCUGGGGGGCCACCACUUUGAGAGCGACACAGAGAUGUCCGACAUUGACGACGACGACAGGGAAACGCUUUUCAGCUCCAUGGACCUACUCUCGCCUGGCGGCCACUCCGAUGCACAAACUCUGGCCAUGAUGCUGCAGGAGCAGCUGGACGCCAUUAACAAGGAGAUUCGGCUGAUCCAGGAGGAGAAGGAGUCCACGGAGCUUCGGGCCGAGGAGAUCGAGAACCGCGUGGCCAGCGUCAGCCUGGAGGGCCUCAACCUGGCGCGGCUGCACCACCACCACCACCACGGCGCCUCCAUCACCGCCUCCGCCACUGCCUCCUCGCUGGCGUCGUCCUCCCCGCCCAGCGGACACUCCACCCCAAAACUGGACCCCCGGAGUCCUGCUCGUGACAUGGAGCGUAUGGGGGUGAUGACACUGCCCAGUGAUUUACGGAAGCACAGGAGAAAGAUAGCGGCAGUGGACGAAGACGGCCGCGAGGACAAGGCCACCAUCAAGUGCGAGACGUCACCGCCGCCCACGCCGCGCACCGUCCGGAUGACGCACACGCUGCCGUCCUCGCACAAUGACGCCCGCGGCAUGGCCUCUCUGGAGGCUGAAGGCGGCACCCUGAGCAGCGUCGCCAGCAGCCAGGACUCCCUGCACAAGCAGCCCAAGAAGAAGGGCAUCAAGUCGUCCAUCGGGCGCCUCUUCGGCAAGAAGGAGAAGGGCAGACUGGCGCAUCUGGCGCACAGACACGUCAUGGUGGAUCCGCAAGCCACCAUGAUGGACCCGGACAUGGCGGGCCAGGAUGUGGGAGCGGGCAAGCUGGGCACUCAGGCCGAGAAGGACCGCCGCUUGAAAAAGAAACAUGAACUGCUGGAAGAAGCCAGGAGGAAGGGCUUACCUUUUGCACAGUGGGACGGACCCACCGUGGUGGCCUGGCUGGAGCUGUGGCUGGGAAUGCCGGCCUGGUACGUGGCGGCGUGCCGUGCCAACGUCAAGAGCGGCGCCAUCAUGUCGGCCCUGUCCGACACAGAGAUCCAAAGGGAGAUCGGAAUCAGCAACCCCCUCCACCGCCUCAAGCUCCGCCUGGCCAUCCAGGAGAUGGUCUCCCUCACCAGCCCGUCGGCGCCUCCCACCUCCAGAACUCCGUCUGGCAACGUAUGGGUGACCCACGAGGAGAUGGAGACCAUGGCGGCCCCUUCCAAAACGAAGUCCCAGUCUGACGAGGGGAGCUGGGCCCAGAUGUUUGCUUCUGCUGCCAAGACGCUGGCUUACGGAGACAUGAAUCACGAGUGGAUCGGGAACGAGUGGCUGCCCAGUCUCGGACUACCUCAGUACCGCAGCUACUUCAUGGAGUGCCUGGUGGACGCCCGCAUGCUGGACCACCUCACCAAGAAGGACCUGAGGGUGCACCUGAAAAUGGUGGACAGCUUCCACAGAACAAGUUUACAAUACGGCAUCAUGGGUCUGAAGAAACUCAACUAUGACAGGAAGGAGCUGGAGCGGCGGCGGGAGACGAGCCAGCACGAAAUGAGAGACGUUCUGGUGUGGAGCAACGAGCGUGUGGUCCGCUGGGUGCAGAGCAUCGGCCUGAGGGACUACGCCAACAUCCUGCACGAGAGCGGCGUGCACGGAGCGCUGGUCGCCCUGGACGACAACUUUGACUACAGCAGCCUGGCACUGCUCCUCCAGAUCCCCACCCAAAACACUCAGGCCCGGCAGAUUCUGGAGCGCGAGUACAAUAAUCUUCUGGCGCUGGGCACCGACCGCCGGCUGGAUGAGUGCGACGACAAAGAGUUCCGGGGUCCGUCGUGGAGGAGGCAGUUCCCGCCGCGGGACGUGCACGGGAUCAGCAUGAUGCCCGGAUCGGCCGAAACGCUCCCGGCUGGCUUCCGCCUCACCGCCACGUCUGGUCACUCGCGGAGGCUCCCCCCAGACGUCCUCUACGAGGAUGACAGCCCCGACAACAUGUAUGUGGAUUGGUUUCAAGUCGGACCCUCUGCAGUGCAGCGGCUGGACAGCUCCACGGUGAGAACCUACUCGUGCUGAGAGAGAGGAGGCGGACCUUAAACUGUACACUGCGCAGUUCUGAAUGGAGCUGCUGGAUGGGCCAAACUGGCGGGAGGGGUUGUGGUGGGGAGUGGGGGGACAGUUGGGGGCACGCCAUUGGGACAACUCGCACUGCCAAGAAGCCCCCAUCUCCAAACCUCACCUGCCAGCCCCUCCCUCACUCCGAACGCCGGUGCUAAACUCCACAAUCCUGCAGGCUGGCGGCCAUUUCUACCUUUUACAUUUGCUGCCAUGAAUUGGACUGGUGAGCAUCGCUUUCAUUAUGGAAACGAUCAAAUCCAGCGAAUCUGUAACUGCAACACAACGAGCGUUCAAUCUUGGUAGACAUGAUCCCCGUAGCAGCUCCAAACACCAUCUUGUUAUGGUUAACUUCACAGCUACUGGAUCUGCAUUGAGUGUGUGGACAAUAGUGGAUCCCAUUUGACUGAUUUCAUUUUAAAACAUAAUGAAACAGAAUGGCAUUAUAUAUGCUUUUCCAAAAUAAAAACACCUUUGUGUUUCUUUACUUUAUUUGCCUUUUAUUUCACCUACAAAUGUGUCAGAUCAUUUUGCCUGACCCUGUAGAAAAAUAAUGUAAACACCUACACUUCCGCAGUUUUAUCCAAUAAUACACAUGUACGUCAUCAACACGCUAACAUGCUGAAGCCACUUGCUGCUGCGUUCAGGCGACGUGGGGCCUUAGAGUUUUCUCCACCAGCAUCUCAACGUCCUUGAACACAUCAGGGUCCUCGAUGGUGGGCGUGAUCUGUAUUGGAGUGGGGGUUAAUGAUUAAUUUAAUUUGUAUUGUUACACACCUGGGAGCCAAUUAAACACAUAGCAUAGCAUAGCAACUGUUCUGUUAUGCAAUCAUCAUGAUUUGCUGAUAUAAACGAUCAUGGACUCGAGUUUUUGUAGUCGCUCCUCACAAACUGGGGAUGUUUUUGUCACAUAAAGGAUCUUUGACAAGUGUUUUUGUAGUAGACCCUUAAAAAUGGGCGACCGUUUUGUCACAUAAAGGAUCUUAGACUGGUGUUUUUGUAGUAGGCCCUUAAAAAGGAGGACGAUUUUGUCAUUUAAACGAUCUUUGACGAGUGUUUUAGUGGUAGAUCCCGA